UACGGAGGGGGCUAGCGUUGUUCGGAAUUACUGGGCGUAAAGGGCGCGUAGGCGGUUAUUCAAGUCAGGCGUGAAAGGCCUGGGCUCAACCCGGGAACUGCGCUUGAUACUGGAUGACUCCGAGUCCGGGAGAGGAUGGCGGAAUUCCCAGUGUAGAGGUGAAAUUCGUAGAUAUUGGGAAGAACACCGGUGGCGAAGGCGGCCAUCUGGACCGGCACUGACGCUGAGGCGCGAAAGCGUGGGGAGCAAACAGG
rnacentral:rRNA from 1 species